rnacentral:rRNA from 1 species
UACGUAGGGUGCAAGCGUUAUCCGGAUUCACUGGGUUUAAAGGGUGCGUAGGAGGGCAGGUAAGUCAGUGGUGAAAUCUCCGGGCUUAACUCGGAAACUGCCGUUGAUACUAUCUGCCUUGAAUACCGUGGAGGUGAGCGGAAUAUGUCAUGUAGCGGUGAAAUGCUUAGAUAUGACAUAGAACACCGAUUGCGAAGGCAGCUCACUACACGAAUAUUGACUCUGAGGCACGAAAGCGUGGGGAUCAAACAGGAUUAGAAACCCUAGUAGUCC